GGGACGCCGAGGAAGCGAGCCCCGCGGCCGGAGGCGGGCCGCAGCCGCACGCCGCCGGCCGAGCCCACCACUCCGGCGGUCCAAGGCCCGGCCUCCCCGCCCCCGGUCGCCGCAGAGCCGCCCCGCAGACCCCUCCCGAGGCCGCGGGGCCGCGCGGCGCCAGGGUCACGCUCGGGGACAACGCCUCGAGACAGUUGCCAACAGCGUUUUAGCCUUUGGAUUUCCACGCACAUUAUGGCCGGGCUCUCUGUCCGCUCCUCAGCCCACCCAACACCCGCUGUGGGAGGGGGGAUGGUGUGCCUGGCCUUCAGGUGAGUUAUUUAUUGGCUUAGGGACUGCAGUCAUUUUUUUCUUCUUCUUUAAGGAAAAUAAUUCGACUUGGCGGUGUCUUGCACAGGGUGGGUACUCCAGAAAUAUCAAGUUAAUAGAGCAGACCUAGAUUAAAGGUUGAGGUGAGAGGUUGAUCUCCUGUCUUUCAGUGAUCAGCACCUGCCCGCUAUCUGCCCACUCCCCACCACAAAGUCCACGAUAACAGGUGGUCUUCUAAGCCUGCCUGCCUGACAGGAAAGUCAUUAUUGAUAGCACUUUCUUCUGAGAUGAAGAGGAGGGGGGCGCACACUCUGAGGUGCAGGUGGAAGAAUCAUUCCUGGGCAUUCCGCAAUAUCUACACUCUAACCAAGUAACAGAGGCAUACUUAUUAAAAUGCUUAAGGUCCUCCCCAAAUACCCCUAGUCACCUUUCCAGGAGCUCACCGACUCAGGGAAGGAAAAACGGGUUCAUAAAAACAUUGCCUUAACUAUUGGAUGUCAAAGAUGUGAUGCAGAAUAACAGCCUGUGGCACAGAUUAGUGGCCUGGUGUGUCAGGGAAGCCUCUGGAGGCAGGGAGACUAGGCCUGGGAAAAUGGCGAUAGAAAGGGGAAGGGAGUGUUUUUUCAGAUUGCAUGGGAGAGAAGGUGGGAAAAUUAUGCUACAUAGUUUAUGGACCUGUAUUCUAUAGAUGUGCAGCUUUGGAAGUUUGGAGUGGGAAAAUGUGAUGUACGUCAUGUUAUAGGAAAAACAGUCUGGUGACACGGUGAAGACUAGAAUGAAUGAGCAAAAACCAGGAGCUGGUAGGAAGUGACCAUGGCAUUGUAUCAAGUGCCAGAGGAAGCAAGGACCUGUCUUUCAAGUGACAGAUACAGAGAUACAGAAAUGUUAAACAGAAACUCAAAAGCAGCACAUAGCUCUGCCAGUAACUUCUCUAAUAAACUGCCUUCCUUCUACCUUGUUAGUAUCAUUCAGGAACCCCUCUUAGCCAUCUCUGUCUCCCCACAGUGCCUCCCUGAGUACAUUGCAAGCCAAGUCCUGAAUUUUUGCUAAAUGAAUGGAUGUCAGAUAAUAAACUUCAUUGUCACCUUACUUUGAGGGUUCAGUUUCCUCACAUAUAAAAUAAAGGACCGUUUCAAAAAUUCCUUAUCUUCCCCAAAUACUAGGGUUCCAUAAAAUAAAAAAUAUUAUCCCAUCUUAAUACCUGCUGAGUAAAAGCAAUAAUGAAAAACCUAUUUAGCUCUCAUCAGGAAAUGAAAUAAUGAGCUCUUCCACAUGGAAAGGAGAAGUAACAAAAUAAAGUCAAAAGCAAGGUGCUAAUAAUACCACUGAAGUUGGGUUUGCUUUCUGUCAUGAAAGACUAACGUCUCCCUGCAUCCUUCUCACUGCCAAAAAUAAAGUUUUCUGUGCCCCCACUGAAUUCUUUCUUCUUCUCAGUGUAAAACCCCUCAUGGUGCUUUUUCAGUAAGUU